rnacentral:rRNA from 1 species
UACGGGGGGGGUAAGCGUUGUUCGGAAUUACUGGGCGUAAAGGGCUCGUAGGCGGCCAACUAAGUCAGACGUGAAAUCCCUCAGCUUAACUGGGGAACUGCGUCUGAUACUGGAUGGCUUGGAUUUGGGAGAGGGAUGCGGAAGUUCCAGGUGUAGCGGUGAAAUGCGUAGAGUAUCUGGAGGAACACCGGUGGCGAAGGCGGCAUCCUGGACCAACAUUGACGCUGAGGAGCGAAAGCCAGGGGAG